GACGAACGCUGGCGGCGUGCUUAACACAUGCAAGUCGAACGGAAAGGCCCUGCUUUUGUGGGGUGCUCGAGUGGCGAACGGGUGAGUAACACGUGAGUAACCUGCCCUUGACUUUGGGAUAACUUCAGGAAACUGGGGCUAAUACCGGAUAGGAGCUCCUGCUGCAUGGUGGGGGUUGGAAAGUUUCGGCGGUUGGGGAUGGACUCGCGGCUUAUCAGCUUGUUGGUGGGGUAGUGGCUUACCAAGGCUUUGACGGGUAGCCGGCCUGAGAGGGUGACCGGCCACAAUGGGACUGAGAUACGGCCCAGACUCCUACGGGGGGCAGCAGUGGGGAAUAUUGCACAAUGGGCGGAAGCCUGAUGCAGCAACGCCGCGUGCGGGAUGACGGCCUUCGGGUUGUAAACCGCUUUCGCCUGUGACGAAGCGUGAGUGACGGUAAUGGGUAAAGAAGCACCGGCUAACUACGUG
rnacentral:rRNA from 1 species